AUUGAACGCUGGCGGCAGGCUUAACACAUGCAAGUCGAGCGGGGGAAGGUAGCUUGCUACUGGACCUAGCGGCGGACGGGUGAGUAAUGCUUAGGAAUCUGCCUAUUAGUGGGGGACAACAUCCCGAAAGGGAUGCUAAUACCGCAUACGUCCUACGGGAGAAAGCAGGGGAUCUUCGGACCUUGCGCUAAUAGAUGAGCCUAAGUCGGAUUAGCUAGUUGGUGGGGUAAAGGCCUACCAAGGCGACGAUCGGUAGCGGGUCUGAGAGGAUGAUCCGCCACACUGGGACUGAGACACGGCCCAGACUCCUACGGGAGGCAGCAGUGGGGAAUAUUGGACAAUGGGGGGAACCCUGAUCCAGCCAUGCCGCGUGUGUGAAGAAGGCCUUAUGGUUGUAAAGCACUUUAAGCGAGGAGGAGGCUACUCUAGUUAAUACCUAGGGGUAGUGGACGUUACUCGCAGAAUAAGCACCGGCUAACUCUGUGCCAGCCGCCGCGGUAA
rnacentral:rRNA from 1 species